rnacentral:rRNA from 1 species
UAACACUUAGAAAUAGGUGCUAAUACCGCAUAACAACAGAAAGCGCAUGCUUUUUGUUUGAAAACCAAGGUGGUAUGGGAUGGACCCGCGUCUGAUUAGCUGGUUGGCGGGGUAAAGGCCCACCAAGGCGACGAUCAGUAGCCGGCCUGAGAGGGUGGACGGCCACAUUGGGACUGAGACACGGCCCAAACUCCUACGGGAGGCAGCAGUGGGGAAUAUUGCACAAUGGGGGAAACCCUGAUGCAGCGACGCCGCGUGAGUGAAGAAGUAAUUCGUUAUGUAAAGCUCUAUCAGCAGGGAAGAAAAUGACGGUACCUGAGUAAGAAGCCCCGGCUAACUACGUGCCAGCAGCCGCGGUAAUACGUAGGGGGCAAGCGUUAUCCGGAUUUACUGGGUGUAAAGGGAGCGUAGACGGCAGUGCAAGUCUGGAGUGAAAGGCGGGGGCUCAACCCCCGGACUGCUCUGGAAACUGUACGGCUGGAGUGCAGGAGAGGUAAGUGGAAUUCCUAGUGUAGCGGUGAAAUGCGUAGAUAUUAGGAGGAACACCAGUGGCGAAGGCGGCUUACUGGACUGNAACUGACGUUGAGGCUCGAAAGCGUGGGGAGCAAACAGGAUUAGAUACCCCUGGKAGUCCACGCCGNAAACGAUGAUCACUAGGUGU